rnacentral:rRNA from 1 species
UGAGGAAUAUUGGGCAAUGCCCGCAAGGGUGACCCAGCAACGCCGCGUGGAGGAUGAAUGUCGUAAGAUUGUAAACUCCUGUUAGAGGGGAAGAAUAGUACCGGUUGGACGGGUAUAUGACUGUACCCUCAGAGAAAGCCCCGGCUAACUACGUGCCAGCAGCCGCGGUAAUACGUAGGGGGCAAGCGUUGUCCGGAUUUCCUGGGUGUAAAGGGCGCGCAGGCGGGAUAAAAAGUCAGUGGUGAAAUCCUACAGCUUAACUGUAGAACUGCCUUUGAUACUUUUAUUCUUGAGUUCGGGAGAGAGAGACGGAAUUCCAGGUGUAGUGGUGAAAUACGUAGAUAUCUGGAAGAACACCAGUUGCGAAGGCGGUCUCUUGGUCCGACACUGACGCUGAGGCGCGAAAGCGUGGGGAGCAAACA